rnacentral:misc_RNA from 1 species
CCUAAUAAAUGAUGGGUCCUGUAAAUCUGGGAAGAUGCAAAAUGGCACUGUGGCUAACACGUGCAGCUUUGAGGAUCCAGUGGUCUGGGAUGGAAAACCUCAUGCACUUGUCAGUUCAGACAGUAGUGCCAAGGUACCUUUGUGUGGGAACAACAUUUCCCAUAGUUCUUACCCUACAAAUGGGGAUAAUCUAAAUGUAGAUAGUAGAGAUGAUGACGAAAACUCUUCUGGGUGUACUCACCCUCGCACCACAAAAAAAUUCUUUAGGCCAGCGCCACGUAUUGGAGAUCGAAGAAUAAGGAAAAUAGUGGCUUCUAAAUACUGGAAAGUAGCUCCCAGAUUGAAGGGUGUGACACUUUUUUACACU